rnacentral:lncRNA from 1 species
UUCUUCUCUAGGUACAAGAUGAAUAAAAUACCCUUUGUAGCUAGCUAGGUUUCAUUUUCCUUUAUCAAAAUACCCUAAUGGGAAUUCAGCAAGUUGUCCCGGACUUUAGAUGGAGACUAACGAAUUGCCGGUUUUAUGAUCGUCAUGCACUAGUAUGAGUUAAAGCUGCCAGUGUGAUCUAAACGUUUCUUCUUUGUUGAGGAACGAUAAGAUCACAUGGUUGCUUCAUCUGAUGUUGGUGGCAUGAAAAACCCUAUUUUCUAAUUCAAUCAUUUAGGGUUUUCUAUUUGUUGAAAGAAUGGUAUGUAGUUUCCUUAUUGUAUUGUUUAUAUGUUGGGUUCACCUGAAUUUUGAAUGCUUUUUGACAGUUAUAGAACGUUUAUGUAUUUGCACACCGGUUUAUGUUUUUGUUCCUUUCGGUGUAAUUGUUUGAUUUAAUGGAUUCUUAGUAUUGUUUGACAGAAAUUUCGUGGAUCCCUAGACGUGCUUUAGGAGGUGAGCCUUGAUGUUUUAUACCUAGAUUACCUGUACAAUUUCUGCAUAUCUGUUGCGUGCACUCUCUUUUUUCAUAUAUAGAACAAUGAACUGAUUUCAUUAUUUCUAUGACUUAUAAUUUCGAGAAACCCUUUUGUUUCUUAGCGUUUAUUAAUUUCUGAUGAAACCUAUGGAGUAGGGAUUUUACAUGCUUUUCUUUUUUGAACAUUAAUUUGUUAAGAGAAAUUUUGUAACUAUCUGCUCAUUUUUGUCUCAUUAUCUGAUUAAUCCUAAGAAUUGAGAUUCUUAUGAUAGCUUGUUAAUUUACAGUUCAAUGUUUUUCUUGAAGCCAGUAAUUUUAUUGACAUUUCGUCUUUUAUUCUUAGGGGCGCUUGAUUUAUGUAGAUCUGACUGAUCUACUCUAUCUUUAAGAAUUCUGGUGGUUGGUUAGUUUUCAAGACAGCUUCUGUAUUUUUUGGCAUUUUUCCUCAUAAGUUUUGCAGCCUGGCAUUUUUGUACAACACAUUUGUCUGAAAAAUGUGUACCAAAUCAGAACUAUAUUUAUAUAUCCUGAGUAAAUCUGAGUGCUGCAAGGAUGAAGUAGGAAAAUUUCUCAAUAGAUAGUUGAACUUCGCCUGAACAAAACUGGGAUCAAUGAGAACAAAUUUACAGAACUAAAUGCCCUUAUAUCAGGAUGGAAUUCUAGGAUCCUUUCAAAAGAAAAUUUGCACCUUAAAAUGCAUGAGCAGAUCAAGAUGCUUAUGAUUGAGCAUUUUGAUCUGACCGUACGUUUAAAAUUCUAAACAUUGAUCCCAGUUUUAAUCGUGAUUAUUUAGACAUUCUUGAAAUUUUCUCUUCCAUUUGGUAUCUCAGUGCUAUAAAUACUAAUGAGCUCUUUCUUGAGAACUACUUGGAGCAGAAUAAAUCAAAACAUCAUGUAACUAACCUGUGGUCGAUUCAAAUUUAUGAAUUAUUGGCAUAUAUUCAUAUAUUGACGACACAAUAAUGGGCAACUCAUCUUUUUUGGUUUAGAGUUCCUGGGAGAGUUGGUUCCUUUACUGUUUUCUGGAUGUAGAAACAGAAUGGACAGCUCUCAGCUCAUGAAUCCAUAUCAUUUAAGACUGCACACUACUCGACAGUCCCAGAUCAAUACAUGCUUUUAAUUCUUACAAAGAAUUCUGUAAUUCGAGUUCAACAAUUUAUUGUCUCAACUUAAUUAUAAAUGCGUGUUGAUUUCCAUGAACAAGAUCAGUAGGUUAUAUGCUGUUAUAGCAGAAAAAUCAUGAGCUAAUUAACCUGUGGUUGAUUCAUAAUAAUGGAUAACUCAUCUCUUUUGGUACACAGGUCUAGUUUUGGAGCCCUUCAAGGUUUUCUAAAUGUAGAAGCUGGAAUGGACAACUGAUCUUUACAUGUAAUGUGUGUGUGUGUGUGUGGUAUAUACACAUCUCAAUUUUUGUCUUCAGUAUUAGGCAAGAUUCCACACACCUUUGGUAGUCCCGGUUGUCCAUUUAUGCAUGUGAAAUGUUCUGUGAGUCUUCCUUGGUCACCCUCAUUCAGAUGGAAAUGAGAAAAGUGACAAGCUUGUUACAAUUCCAUUGGUCCUCAGAAGUGACAUCCAGCAAGAUAUGUUUUAGGAAUUAAGUUCCUUGUACUGAUGAAGUGUACCAGAAGCUUACAGAUGAUGAGGGUGGGUUGGCUGGUUUAAAUUUGGUUUUUGUCCAACAUUCAAUGAAAUCGUGCCACUGACAGUCUGUCAAACUGUGCAAAAAUCUCCAGCAUGAUUGAUGUUUUAGCCCUCCACCAGUGUCGGCUACUAUUUUAUAGCAUAUAUUAAGCAACAAAG